UGCCAGAUUGUGUAAUGGUAGCACUACGGACUUUGAAUCCGUCUGUCUAGGUUCGAAUCCUAGUCUGGCAGCCA
rnacentral:tRNA from 1 species